AUUGAACGCUGGCGGCAGGCCUAACACAUGCAAGUCGAGCGGAGCGGCGGACGGGCGAGUAAUGCCUAGGAAUCUGCCUGGUCGUGGGGGAUAACGUCCGGAAACGGGCGCUAAUACCGCAUCCUAUCAGAUGAGCCUAGGUCGGAUACGCUAGUUGGUGGGGUAAAGGCCUACCAAGGCGACCAUCCUUAACUAGUCUGAGAGGAUGAUCAGUCACACGGGAACUGGGACACGGUCCAGACUCCUACGGGAGGCAGCAUUGGGGAAUAUUGGACAAUGGGCGAAAGCCUGAUGCAGCCAGGCCGCGUGUGUGAAGAAGGUCUUCGGAUGGUAAAGCACUUUAAGUUGGGAGGCGUUACCAACAGAAUAAGCACCGGCUAACUUCGUGCCAGCAGCCGCGGUAAUAC
rnacentral:rRNA from 1 species